rnacentral:rRNA from 1 species
CCUACGGGUGGCAGCAGUGAGGAAUAUUGGUCAAUGGGCGCGAGCCUGAACCAGCCACGUCGCGUGAGGGAUGACUGCCCUCCGUGUUGUAAACUUCUUUUAUAAAGGAAUAAAGUGAGGCACGUGUGCCUUUUUGUAUGUACUUUCUGAGUAAGGGUCGGCUAACUCCGUGCCAGCAGCCACGGUAAUACGGAGGAUCCGAGCGUUAUCCGGAUUUAUUGGGUUUAAAGGGAGCGUAGAUGGGUUGUUAAGUCAGUUGUGAAAGUUUGCGGCUCAACCGUAAAACUGCAAUUGAUACUGGCAGCCUUGAGUACAGUUGAGGUAGGCGGAAUUCGUGGUGUAGCGGUGAAAUGCUUAGAUAUCACGAAGAACUCCGAUUGCGAAGGCAGCUUACUAAACUGCCACUGACAUUGAUGCUCGAAAGUGUGGGUAUCAAACAGGAUUAGAUACCCCUGUAGUC